GUGCCAGCCGCCGCGUAAUUCCAGCUCCAAUAGCGUAUAUUAAAGUUGUUGUGGUUAAAAAGCUCGUAGUUGAACCUUGGGCCUGGCUGGCCGGUCCGCCUCACCGCGUGCACUGGUCCGGCCGGGCCUUUCCCUCUGUGGAACCCCAUACCCUUCACUGGGCGUGGCGGGGAAACAGGACAUUUACUUUGAAAAAAUUAGAGUGCUCCAGGCAGGCCUAUGCUCGAAUACAUUAGCAUGGAAUAAUAAAAUAGGACGCGCGGUUCUAUUUUGUUGGUUUAUAGGACCGCCGUAAUGAUUAAUAGGGACAGUCGGGGGCAUCAGUAUUCAACUGUCAGAGGUGAAAUUCUUGGAUCAGUUGAAGACUAACUACUGCGAAAGCAUUUGCCAAGGAUGUUUUCAUUAAUCAGGAACGAAAGUUAGGGGAUCGAAGACGAUCAGAUACCGUCGUAGUCUUAACCAUAAACUAUGCCGACUAGGGAUCGGACGGUGUUAUUCAUGACCCGUUCGGCACCUUACGAGAAAUCAAAGUGCUUGGGCUCCAGGGGGAGUAUGGUCGCAAGGCUGAAACUUAAAGAAAUUGACGGGAGGGCACCACCAGGGGUGGAGCCUGCGGCUUUAAUUUGACUCAACACGGGGAAACUCACCAGGUCCAGACACAAUAAGGAUUGACAGAUUGAGAGCUCUUUCUUGAUUUUGUGGGUGGUGGAUGCAUGGCGAUCUUAGCUGGUGGGGUGACUUGUCUGCUUAGUGCGAUAACGAACGAGACAUAACCUGCUAAAUAGCCUGCAUGCUCAGCAGUGCGCUGGCUUCUAGAGGGACUUUCGGCUCAGCGGAGGAGUUGAGGCAAUAACAGCUGUGAUGCCUAGAUGUCUGGGCGCACGCGCUACCUGACGGUCAGCAGUCCUGCCGUAGGUGGUAUCUUGUAGGCCCGCUCGGCCUGGGCAUAGGACAAUAUGCCA
rnacentral:rRNA from 1 species